GAUGAACGCUGGCUACAGGCUUAACACAUGCAAGUCGAGGGGAAACGACGGGGAAGCUUGCUUCCCCGGGCGUCGACCGGCGCACGGGUGAGUAACGCGUAUCCAACCUGCCUCUGACUGAGGGAUAACCCGUCGAAAGUCGGCCUAAUACCUCAUGGUAUCGCCUGCGGGCAUCCAACGACGAUUAAAGAUUUCAUCGGUCAGGGAUGGGGAUGCGUCUGAUUAGCUUGUUGGCGGGGUAACGGCCCACCAAGGCUACGAUCAGUAGGGGUUCUGAGAGGAAGGUCCCCCACAUUGGAACUGAGACACGGUCCAAACUCCUACGGGAGGCAGCAGUGAGGAAGAUUGGUCAAUGGGCGAGAGCCUGAACCAGCCAAGUAGCGUGCAGGAAGACGGCCCUAUGGGUUGUAAACUGCUUUUAUGCGGGGAUAAAGUGAGGGACGUGUCCCUCAUUGCAGGUACCGCAUGAAUAAGGACCGGCUAAUUCCGUG
rnacentral:rRNA from 1 species